AUACGGAGGGUGCGAGCGUUAAUCGGAAUUACUGGGCGUAAAGCGCGCGUAGGCGGCUAGGUCAGUCGGAUGUGAAAGCCCUGGGCUUAACCUGGGAACUGCAUUCGAUACUGCCUAGCUAGAGUAUGGUAGAGGGAAGCGGAAUUCCGGGUGUAGCGGUGAAAUGCGUAGAUAUCCGGAGGAACACCAGUGGCGAAGGCGGCUUCCUGGACCAAUACUGACGCUGAGGUGCGAAAGCGUGGGGAGCAAACAGGAUUAGAAACCCGAGUAGUCC
rnacentral:rRNA from 1 species